rnacentral:rRNA from 1 species
CCAGACUCCUACGGGAGGCAGCAGUGGGGAAUAUUGGACAAUGGGGGGAACCCUGAUCCAGCGACGCCGCGUGAGUGAAGAAGUAUUUCGGUAUGUAAAGCUCUAUCAGCAGGGAAGAAAGAAAUGACGGUACCUGACUAAGAAGCCCCGGCUAACUACGUGCCAGCAGCCGCGGCAAUACGUAGGGGGCAAGCGUUAUCCGGAUUUACUGGGUGUAAAGGGAGCGUAGACGGCAGUGCAAGUCUGAAGUGAAAGGCGGGGGCCCAACCCCCGGACUGCUUUGGAAACUGUGCUGCUGGAGUGCAGGAGAGGCAAGUGGAAUUCCUAGUGUAGCGGUGAAAUGCGUAGAUAUUAGGAGGAACACCGGUGGCGAAGGCGGCCUGCUGGACCGUAACUGACGUUGAGGCUCGAAAGCGUGGGGAGCAAACAGGAUUAGAUACCCUCGUAU